ensembl:lncRNA
CGAAGGUGUUAGAAAUGCUCAAAGUGCACAUUUGGGUGGGGGCGAGGUCUGGAGGAAAAGGUGAGCUCAGUUCUAUGAUGUUGCAUAAUGGAGCGGCAACCUUUGUCACCUGGAGGAUGGGAAUAUCAUUGAGAGCACAGAUGUGGAGCAACAAAACCUUCCCGCAGCUCCCUUUGUAUUUUUGUCUUAUGAACUUUGAAUUGAACUUCUGCGCCGGCUCUGAUCUGGCAACAGGCUCCCUCACCGGGAGAGGAUGGCACAGGUGAAGACAACGGCGGACAAAAGGCAAAAAAAAUCACAGCCCACAUUGAAGAUCAAACCUUUAUCAGAGCCUUCAGCGACCUGGCAGCUUGGAGGCUUCUGCUUUUGAUUCCAGGAAAGCGGAGCAGCAAAAUUAAAGCCUGCAAAACCUAUUGAGAAUAAAUUGGAUGUGUCCGCACCGCCUGUGUUUUGACAGCGCUUGAGGUGGGGAGGCUUGGCGCUGGGAGGGCCGGGUGUGAGCUCCAAGCUCUGCAUCCCACGGCCCAGCUGGGAUUGCUGAGAAGCAGAACCCUCCAGCAGGAUGGAGGGAGGACUGAAGGGGAUGGAACUCCUGUGUCUUUUUGCCAGGGACUCCUCUGGUUCUCCGGAAAAACAACAAAGACUCACAGGUUGCCUUGAAAAACUCUGCCUAGUGCAGGCGGCUUCUUUGCCUUCAGGCUGGGAUAGUUUGUGCCAGCCAGAAAGGAGAAAACUGUUCUAUGUUUCCUCCCAGUUCCAUAUCACCUAAUGGCUGUAAGUUGCACCAGGGGAGGUUCAGAUUGGAUAUUAGGAAGCAUUUCUUCUUUGGAAGAGUGGCAAUGUGUUGGCACAGCUGCCCAGCAGUGGUGGGGUCACCAUCCCUGGAGGUGUUCAGUGGAGAUGUGGCAUUGAGGGACGUAGGCAGUGGGCAUGGAGGGCUGGGCUGGGGUUGGGCUUGGGGACUCGGAGGUCUUUUCCAGCCUUAAUGAUUCUAUGAGUCUAUGAUUGAGAAAGGGGCCGUGGCUUCUGUUUCGUGAGCGUACGACUGGGGCACACUGCAUCCUCCAGUGGAAGCAGCUCCUCUUACAAAUUGCAAAGGUGAAAUCGCAAAUCUGGCAACGACUGCUGGCAGCAAAUGGAUUGUUCCCUGGCUGAGAUGUGUACAAUCUCUAGGAGAAAAGGUGCUGUUUCCAGGUAAUUUCAGAAGAGGAAGGAGAAGAAGAGCAUCUGGCACCUUAGCUGUUUGCAACCACUUCCCCCUCAGCUCCGCUAGAGUUAACAGGUUGGCUGAAGCAAACAAAAUUCGGAAAUUUCACUUCUGAAUAAAGCAUGUGAGCCUGGCCCGGGAGUGGGCUGCUCUCUUCCUUUUAUGAAUCAGUCUCCAAGAUAUGCUCGCAUUCCUGAGAAACAAGCCUGGAAUAACACGGCUGGCUUUUGGGUGCAACACACUGAUUGUGAGGAAGCAACAGUCUCUCGCGUAUGAAUUGCUUUUAUGUUGAAAUAGGUCAGAGCUAUAGCAUUCGUUGAAAAAUGGCUUUUUAAUGUGCUUUAUGGGCUGUCAGGGCAUAAUGAAUGUAAACCGUGGAUCUGGCUUCGUCGGAAUGAUAUUUUAUUUUUUUGCUUUAUCGACCAGACGCAAUGAAUCUCAGAUCAAUUAGUUGUGCUUUGAAGUUUGCUCUUGAUCCAGAUCUUCAAUAAAAAGGAAGUUUCCAAACCACUGGUCUGUGAACACUGUUUGUGAUUAAUUACCCUUUUAUAAUCUUAGGAAUUCUGGUCGUUGCUGUAUUUUGAAUACCUCAGACUGCACGGGGAGUUUUAUUUUGGCUGGUAUAUUUGGAAACUGCUAAUAAACACCUCCUUCCUGUUUUUCUUGCUACCGUGCAUAACAAAUUGUUAAAAAACUUGCUUUCCCAUUUCAGUCGCUCGCAUGUUCGACCAGACCUGAGCCACAUUAUUGGUUAAUCAAUGUCGUAUAUCAUCCGCCAGCAAGUUUUCUCAGCUGUUAAAGCAGGACUUUGUCUCUGGCUGUAACAAAAAGAAGUGAGUAACACUGCACGGCAAUAAAGCCAGAGGAAGAAACCUUACACCGAGUUUCUGCUAGAGACAAAUAGUGACUGAUAUGGUUUUAAAUCCGAAACCAAGUUUUAUGCAAAGCUUACUGAAACAACAGCCUGUUUUCCUGUCAAUGCCUGGGUUAAUUGGGGUGCAGGGACGGUCAUGGAUGUGGAGGGUUUGCCUCGCCCUGGGAAACGAUGCCGAGCAGUGCCUACGAGUGCAAACAUCUGUUUGGGCAACGAUUUUAAGGUUAAUAUCGUAUGGAGGAUGUUUGUUUAGACAGGAUGAAUGCUUUUGUGAAACCUAAUAUUAGGCUAUAUCUAGG